UACGUAGGGGGCAAGCGUUUGUCCGGAAUUAUUGGGCGUAAAGAGCGCGUAGGCGGUCCGAUAAGUCUGCUGUGAAAGUCCAGGGCUCAACCCUGGGAUGCCGGUGGAUACUGUCGAGCUCGAGUCCGGAAGAGGCGAGUGGAAUUCCUGGUGUAGCGGUGAAAUGCGCAGAUAUCAGGAGGAACACCAAUGGCGAAGGCAGCUCGCUGGGACGUGACUGACGCUGAGACGCGAAAGCGUGGGGAGCAAACAGG
rnacentral:rRNA from 1 species